rnacentral:rRNA from 1 species
GAUGAACGCUGGCGGCGUGCCUAAUACAUGCAAGUCGAGCGAACAGAUCAGGAGCUUGCUCCUCUGACGUUAGCGGCGGACGGGUUAGUCACACGUGGAUAACCUACCUAUAAGACUGGGAUAACUUCGGGAAACCGGAGCUAAUACCGGAUAAUAUAUUGAACCGCAUGGUUCAAUAGUGAAAGACGGUUUUGCUGUCACUUAUAGAUGGAUCCGCGCCGCAUUAGCUAGUUGGUAAGGUAACGGCUUACCAAGGCAACGAUGCGUAGCCGACCUGAGAGGGUGAACGGCGACACUGGAACUGAGACACGGUCCAGACUCCGACGGGAGGCAGCAGUAGGGAAGCUGCCGCAAUGGGCGAAAGCCUGACGGAGCAACGCCGCGGGAGUGAUGAAGGUCUGCGGAGCGUAAAACUCUGUUAUGGGGGAAGAACAAAUGUGUAAGGAACUAGGCACGUGUUGACGGUACCUAAUCAGAAAGCCACGGCUAACUACGUG